GCAUUGACGUUCGGCGGCGCAUUUUUUCAAAUCGAGGAAGAGAGAAUAUUGGUUGGUUGCGAGAUACAGAAGAAUAAGAACAUUUCUACAGCUCCACGAGCUCUUUUCGCGGUUGGCAAAAGCAUGAUGUAUCAAGGGAUGACACAGAGACCUCUGGCUCUGAGCAAGACAGUGAGCCAGAGCUGCCUGGAGAUGUCAUCGAGCACCAGAUACGCUGUUCCAAAAUGACCCAACUUUAAACUACACAUUUUAGUUAGCAGCUGUUAGUAUCUAAUCUUGUGGAUCCCUUAAUUAUACAUUUCCAUAGAAAGAUGACACAUUAUUUAACGUGUAUUUCAGAUAUUUCAAGAUCCAGAGAAGAAGAUCCUGUACAGCUGUGUUUAAAAACAUUUCCCAGAACUCAGCUUGGUACUAGGAACAGGCCUUUCAACAGCUCCUGGUAUAAGGACAAUUCAUGGCUUGAAUAUUCUGUAAAUCAAGAUUUGACUUAUUGUUUCUCCCGUAGACAUUUUUCUCUGCUCAAUACACAUGAAUCUGCCUUCA